GGUUCCUACGGGGGGCAGCAGUGGGGAAUAUUGCACAAUGGGGGAAACCCUGAUGCAGCGACGCCGCGUGAGCGAAGAAGUAUUUCGGUAUGUAAAGCUCUAUCAGCAGGAACGAGACAAGACGGUACCUGACUAAGAAGCCCCGGCUAACUACGUGCCAGCAGCCGCGGUAAUACGUAGGGGGCAAGCGUUAUCCGGAAUCACUGGGUGUAAAGGGAGCGUAGGCGGGCUUGUAAGUCAGAUGUGAAAUCCUGUAGCUUAAAUA
rnacentral:rRNA from 1 species